GAUGAACGCUGGCGGCGUGCCUAAUACAUGCAAGUCGAGCGAACGGACGAGAAGCUUGCUUCUCUGAUGUUAGCGGCGGACGGGUGAGUAACACGUGGAUAACCUACCUAUAAGACUGGGAUAACUUCGGGAAACCGUAGCUAAUACCGGAUAAUAUUUUGAACCGCAUGGUUCAAAAGUGAAAGACGGUCUUGCUGUCACUUAUAGAUGGAUCCGCGCUGCAUUAGCUAGUUGGUAAGGUAACGGCUUACCAAGGCAACGAUGCAUAGCCGACCUGAGAGCGUGAACGGCCACACUGGAACAGAGACACGGCACAGACUCCUACGCGAGGCCGCAGUAGGGAAUCUUCCGCGAUGGGCGAGAGCCUGACGGAGCAACGCCGCGUGAGUGAUGAAGGUCUUCGGAUCGUAAAACUCUGUUAUUAGGGAAGAACAUAUGUGUAAGUAACUGUGCACAUCUUGACGGUACCUAAUCAGAAAGCCACGGCUAACUACGUG
rnacentral:rRNA from 1 species